rnacentral:rRNA from 1 species
CCUACGGGAGGCAGCAGUGGGGAAUAUUGGGCAAUGGGCGCAAGCCUGACCCAGCAACGCCGCGUGAAGGAAGAAGGCCCUCGGGUUGUAAACUUCUUUUGUCAGGGACGAAACAAAUGACGGUACCUGACGAAUAAGCCACGGCUAACUACGUGCCAGCAGCCGCGGUAAUACGUAGGUGGCAAGCGUUAUCCGGAUUUACUGGGUGUAAAGGGCGUGUAGGCGGGAGAGCAAGUCAGAUGUGAAAUUCCAGGGCUCAACCCUGGAACUGCAUUUGAAACUGUGUUUCUUGAGUGAUGGAGAGGCAGGCGGAAUUCCGGGUGUAGCGGUGAAAUGCGUAGAUAUAUGGAAGAACACCAGUGGCGAAAGCGGCUCUCUGGUCUGUAACUGACGCUGAGGUUCGAAAGCGUGGGUAGCAAACAGGAUUAGAUACCCGGGUAGUC